AUUGAACGCUGGCGGCAGGCCUAACACAUGCAAGUCGAGCGGAUGAAGGGAGCUUGCUCCUGGAUUCAGCGGCGGACGGGUGAGUAAUGCCUAGGAAUCUGCCUGGUAGUGGGGGAUAACGUCCGGAAACGGGCGCUAAUACCGCAUACGUCCUGAGGGAGAAAGUGGGGGAUCUUCGGACCUCACGCUAUCAGAUGAGCCUAGGUCGGAUUAGCUAGUUGGUGGGGUAAAGGCCUACCAAGGCGACGAUCCGUAACUGGUCUGAGAGGAUGAUCAGUCACACUGGAACUGGGACACGGUCCAGCCUCCUACGGGAGGCAGCAGUGGGGAAUAUUGGACAAUGGGCGAAAGCCUGAUCCAGCCAUGCCGCGUGUGUGAAGAAGGUCUUCGGAUUGUAAAGCACUUUAAGUUGGGAGGAAGGGCAGUAAGUUAAUACCUUGCUGUUUUGACGUUACCAACAGAAUAAGCACCGGCUAACUUCGUG
rnacentral:rRNA from 1 species